rnacentral:tRNA from 1 species
GACGGCAUCGUCGAGUGGUAAGGCAAAGGUCUGCAAAGCCUUUAUUCCCCGGUUCGAGUCCCGGGUGCCGUCU